GUGAAUCAUCGAAUCUUUGAACGCAUAUUGCACUCUCUGGUAUUCCGGGGAGUAUGCCUGUUUCAGCAUCAUCAGCACCAUCGACUCCAAAUUUCUUGGGAUCGGAUCUGGGCUUCUUUGCGGAGGAAUAUUUUCAGUAUUUCCCGCUGGCCUGAAAUCGAAUCGUGCGACGCGUUACCUCAGAUUUUGCCAAAUCUCGUACUUUGCAGAGCCUGUUGGACCUCUUCCCCAAAGGCGUCAUAGUUGGCUUUGCCAUCUUUCGCCGAUUUUGGGAGUGGUGCUCGCCGCGCGGAUCUUUUU
rnacentral:misc_RNA from 1 species